AUAACCGGAGAACCCCUAAUGGGACCAGACCCUAAUCCUCACCCGGAAAACAGAGUCAUCCACCGGUAAGCCAGCUUUUUUGCUGCCUUGCCGGUAACAGGCAAGGCAGUGACGUCUU
rnacentral:ncRNA from 2 species